GUCAGCUCACGGAAAUUGAUGAAAUGCUCCUCCCGGCAACACUUGCUGCUGUUUGGGCUGGAGUUACAGUUCCCCUGAGAUCUGUUGGCAUGGAAAUGAAGGAUUUUAGUCAAUGAAUUGACAGUUUUGACCCUUCUGCUUUCCAGCUUUAACCAUCUUUGGUAAAAGCAGCAGUUUAUUUGGCAGAGCAGAGGCGAGAGGAAAGUGUAUUGAGAAAUGGCCACCCCUGCUGUCAUUAUUCCACAAACAGAGGCAGUAAAUCCAGGAGUGUGUUCAGGGAUGUGGAUUGGAGGGAGUUUCUCAAGGGGUGAUUAUCUGUUACUAUUGCAGGACUGCUCAGACCUCUUCUGUCCUGCCAACAUGGGACUAAAGUUACCCCAGUCUGUGUAUUGGGGCCGCAGGUUGUCCUGGGAUGUCAGACAAUGACGGCACAGGAACGGCUGAUGACGGAUCACGUCACGUCAGACAGCUAAGCAAAUUUACUUGCUACACAGCCAUGUUUUCAUGGUAAUCGUGUUAUUAUCUGACGCUGUUUGUCAGGAUGGGCAAGACAAGUAAAAUUCAAUGUUUACGAAUCAACAUGCCUUUUAUUAUUCCAAAUGAAGUCAAUAGCACUACAGAUAAGCCACAUUUUCUCUAACAUAAAUUUAAGAACUAAAAUUCAUACAGAAUUUGAAACCUUUAUAUUUUAUUUAAAAAAGCAAAAACAAAAAAAACUGAAAAUCUGAAAACCAAACUCGAUAUUUGAAAUACUGCAGCCAUGUUUGUAGACUGAGAUUUAAAAAAUAAACAAAAAGAAAUAAAAUAAAAAUAGUAAUAAUAAUACUUCACUAUAUUUAUAUAUUUAUUUAGCAGUUCAGUUUUUUGUUUUUUUUGCAUUAUUUAUGAUUGUAUUUAUUAUUUUAAAGUUAUUCAUUUAAUAUUUCUAAAACAUGACUGAAUGGGAUUUGUGGAAAACAAAAAAAAGUUGUAUUGAUUUAUAAUGCAACUAAUACAAUUUUGUAAAUGUAACUGCUGUCCUAUAAGCUGACAUAAGAAUUUAAAAACAAAGUCAUAAGAAUUUGUUGUUAAAAAUGCUAAAUGUUUGCGUUUACACAGUUUUAUCUCUGUCAUAUCUUUCAGCUGCACCUUAAAAAAGUUUCCUUGAUAAAAUGUAACAUUUAAAAAUGUAUGUAGAUAAGUAUUAAUGUAUUUAAUGCCCCAGAUUUAUUUUAAUAAAUGUAAUUCUGAUGUUUUUGUAAAUUUGAAUAUUUUGAAUUUGAAAAAUUUCUGAAACCUUGUCAUGAAAAUAAAGUACUUUUUUUUA